AAUCAUGGCUCAGGAUGAACGCUGGCGGCGUGCCUAAUACAUGCAAGUCGAACGCUUCACUUCGGUGAAGAGUGGCGAACGGGUGAGUAAUACAUAAGUAACCUGGCAUCUACAGGGGGAUAACUGAUGGAAACGUCAGCUAAGACCGCAUAGGUGUAGAGAUCGCAUGAACUCUAUAUGAAAAGUGCUACGGGACUGGUAGAUGAUGGACUUAUGGCGCAUUAG
rnacentral:rRNA from 1 species